AUUGAACGCUGGCGGCAGGCCUAACACAUGCAAGUCGAGCGGAUGAAGAGAGCUUGCUCUCUGAUUUAGCGGCGGACGGGUGAGUAAUGCCUAGGAAUCUGCCUGGUAGUGGGGGAUAACGUUCCGAAAGGAACGCUAAUACCGCGUACGUCCUACGGGAGAAAGCAGGGGACCUUCGGGCCUUGCGCUAUCAGAUGAGCCUAGGUCGGAUUAGCUAGUUGGUGAGGUAAUGGCUCACCAAGGCGACGAUCCGUAACUGGUCUGAGAGGAUGAUCAGUCACACUGGAAUUGAGACACGGUCCAGACUCCUACGGGAGGCAGCAGUGGGGAAUAUUGGACAAUGGGCGAAAGCCUGAUCCAGCCAUGCCGCGUGUGUGAAGAAGGUCUUCGGAUUGUAAAGCACUUUAAGUUGGGAGGAAGGGCAGUAAGUUAAUACCUUGCUGUUUUGACGUUACCGACAGGAUAAGCACCGGCUAACUUCGUGCCAGCCGCCGCCGUAAGAC
rnacentral:rRNA from 1 species